ACGGAAGGCAGCAGUGGGGAAUAUUGCACAAUGGGCGAAAGCCUGAUGCAGCAACGCCGCGUGAAGGAUGAAGGUCUUCGGAUUGUAAACUUCUGUCCUAAGGGAAGAAUAAAUGACGGUACCUUUGGAGGAAGCCCCGGCUAACUACGUGCCAGCAGCCGCGGUAAUACGUAGGGGGCAAGCGUUAUCCGGAAUUAUUGGGCGUAAAGAGUGCGUAGGCGGUUUCUUAAGCGCGGGGUGAAAGGCAGUGGCUUAACCAUUGUUAGCCUUGCGAACUGGGAGACUUGAGUGCUGGAGAGGAAAGCGGAAUUCCUAGUGUAGCGGUGAAAUGCGUAGAUAUUAGGAGGAACACCAGUGGCGAAGGCGGCUUUCUGGACAGUAACUGACGCCGAGGCACGAAAGUGUGGGGAGCAAACAGGAUUAGAUACCCUGGUA
rnacentral:rRNA from 1 species